AAUUCAUUGCGGGCUUGUUUCCGAUGUGUAAUACAUUCAGCUAUUAGGAUUUUACAAUGAAAUUGUGAGCGAUAACAGCAGCAAUCGGCUCCCGUAAAUACUCGUAAUGGAAUGGCUGUCACUGCUAUUGUUGCUAUAUUUCAGUACCGACGGUGUUGCAUUGAAUGAAUGUAACAGGUGUACAUGUUGUAAAGGUGGAGCUAGUCGUUGUAUGAAGUACGAAUCUCAAAAUGAUUACUGUCUAGAUGGCUGUAUUAGUGGGUAUUUUUCAACUCGUUGCGCUCAUGCUUGUAUGAACGAUUGCCUGCUUUGUUCAAAUAUAUAUUCCUGUUUAAAAUGUACAGAUGGAUACUUUGGUUCAUAUUGUUAUAAAUGUCCGUAUAGCUGUUUAAGCUGUUCUAGUGCAAACACAUGUAAAAGCUGUAAAGAUGGAUUUUAUAACGGAAGACUUAAUGGCAGUGAGUACAAUUAUUUUGAUUGUAGACAUAAAUGCCAAGUUGACUGUUAUUCCUGUACAUCGUAUAACACAUGCACCAAAUGUGUUGAUGGAAAAUAUAACGAUUUGCGCAAUGACUGCUCAGAAAGCUGUAAUGUGGCAUGUAAGGCGUGUACAUCGUAUAACAACUGUACCAAAUGUAUAGAUGGAAAAUAUAACGGUUUGCGCAAUGACUGCUCAGAAAGCUGUAGUGUGGCAUGUAAAGCGUGUACAUCGUAUAACAACUGUACCAAAUGUAUAGAUGGAAAAUAUAACGGUUUGCGCAAUGACUGCUCAGAAAGCUGUAAAUCAGCAUGUAAAGCGUGUACAUCACAUAACAACUGCACCAAAUGUAUAGAUGGAAAAUAUGGCUCAUUCUGUCAAUACGAGUGUGGACUUGGGUGUCAAAAUCAUCAAUGUGACAUCGAUAGUGGGAGUUGCACAUGCUUAUUUAAUUUUCAAGGUAAUAAAUGUGAUCAAUGUGUCAACGGCAAAUAUGGUAAUAGAUGUGACACAAACUGUCCCGCAGGUUGCGCAAAUAAUUCAUGUGACGUUAAUGGUAACUGUUAUAGUUGCGAGACUGGGUUUACUGGAAACAUGUGUACUCAGUGUGUGUAUGGUAAAUAUGGAACAGACUGUAACAUUCCAUGCCCAUUAGGUUGCAGGAAUGGGAAUUGUAAAGCAAACGGAGAUUGUCACAGUUGCAAGAAUGGGUUCACGGAAAGUAAAUGCGAUCAAUGUGUCACCGGUAAAUAUGGAAUCAACUGUGGACACGAUUGUUCGGAAAAUUGUGACUUCGCAGUUUGUAACAGAACAACAGGUGUGUGUUAUAAUGGCUGUAGAAUUAACUAUCACGGCGAGCAGUGUAACAUGACGUGUGCAACGACAUGCUUACCAGAUGACGCCGGUAGAAGGUGUUUUUAUAUGAAUGGAAGUUGUGUAAAAGACUGUCAAAACGGAUACCAUGGUGAUAUGUGUCAGGACCGUUGCAGCGAAAACUGCAUCAACAUUAUCUGUACAAGAGCAAGUGGUGCAUGUAAGCUCGGCUGCGUUGGGGAGUUUGAAGGAAUCAAUUGCACGAAGCCUAUUUCAGAGAUCAUAUCCGAUUCUUAUAACACGGAAGAUUCUUCGAAUGUUGGUGCAUUCAUUGGAGUUGGAGUUGGAUCUGUGGCAGUUACUCUUAUUGUUGUUGGAAUGGUCAUUAUAACAAGACGAUACCUUAGGUCAGAAGAUUCAUUUCAUUUUAUACACCAUUUUUAACCUGCUACAGGUAGCUUGAACAUUCAUUUCGUACAAAAUUAGAUCACCAUACUUAGUAUACAGUUAUUGACUGAGCCAAAGAAUAAAAUCUUUAUUCAUAGGCAGAAAGACACAUUGACCGACGCUAACUUAAGUUCAGCAAGAAAUAUGCCUAUAAAUUACAGCUCAUUACUCAAUAACCGUUUUAUCAGUCUUGUAUGAUUUUGGAAAGAAAUCUGCGAGGUAUUGUCGUCACUUGAUUGUCGGCGCCGGUGUUGGUUAAACUUUUUGUUUUGGUAAACUUUUCUCACACAUAAAACAACUAUAGUUUUGAAACUUUAUACACUUUUUUAUCCUUAUUAAGUAACUACGUAGACCUAGCAACUUAACUCGGAAAAGCAUUUUGUCAGAAUUAUGGUCUUUUUACAUAGAAAAUUACCUUGGUUAAAAUCUUUGUUAAGGUCUACUUUUUCCCCAAAACUAAAAAGCUAAAGCUUUGCGCAUUUAUCUAUCAUCAUAAGAUAAAUAAGUACCCUAAACAACAUAACUAUGGCAUGGAUUUUGUUUUAAUUUUAAAAUGUUUGAAUUUCUUGGUUAAAAGUUUUGCUUCGACCCACUUUGCUUGAAUACUAUUAAGAACACUAGCUUUGAAUUUGAAUUGUUUAUCAUCAUUAGGUGAGUAUAAUUCAUAUGUUGUUUUUUUGUUAUCAAUUAAGACGUUUAAGAAGGCCAAUAGCUCUUUCCUUUCAUAUUUUCCAGAUAGUCUUUAUUUGUUAAUUUGUCAUAUGACAGUAUCGCGUGGAUAUUAUUAAUAUUCAGAUUUAUUUUAGUUUGAACUUCUUUUCUUUUAAACGGAGGUUACAACGUUUAUUUGAAAUUAAAACCCAUUUUAUGCACAUUUUUAGACGUUCUAUGUAGAGUUGUUAUAUUUGUUAGUACUACAAAGAUAUACUGAAUUAUUUUCUAUAACAUAUGUUUGCAGUAUAUCUUCUUUUUUUAGACAUGGAUACCAAAGAAGACAAACGCCAGAUGCUGACUACGAAAAUACACCAGUUCCUGUAUACGAAAAAUUAAAACAGAGUAACACAGAUUCAAACACAUAUGAUCGCAUUGAUGGUACCAGCUCCAGCUAGAGAAAACACAUUUCUG